rnacentral:rRNA from 1 species
CCUACGGGUGGCAGCAGUGGGGGAUAUUGCACAAUGGGGGAAACCCUGAUCCAGCGACGCCGCGUGAGGGAAGAAGUAUUUCUGUAUGUAAAGCUCUAUCAGCAGGGAAGAAAAUGACAGUACCUGACCAAGAUGCCCCGGCUAACUCCGUGCCAGCAGCCGCGGUAAUACGUAGGGGGCAAGGGUUAUCCGGAGUUACUGGGUGUAAAGGGGGCGUAGACGGUUUUGUAAGUCUGAAGUGAAAGCCCGGGGCUCAACCCCGGGACUGCUUUGUAUACUGUGGAACUGGAGUACAGUAGGGGCAGGCGGAAUUCCUGGUGUAGCGGUGAAAUGCGUAGAGAUCAGGCGGAACACCGGCGGCGAAGGCGGCCUGCUGGACUGAAACUGACGUUGAGGCUCGAAAGCGUGGGGAGCAAACAGGAUUAGAUACCCUAGUAGUC